AUUCCUUUAGUCAAUAACAUCGAAGACGACGAAUAAAAUUGAAGGUUAACAUGAGAAAUGAAGGAGAUAUUUAGAAAACGACCAGUUUCUAAAACAAGGAGUAGGGGAGGGGAGGGGAGUAAAGGAGGUCGUCGUGAUUUUACAGAAAGGCAAGUGCACGCAGGUUACGUAAUGUUGUUCAUGCAAGGUGAGCAUGUUGGACACGCAGAAAGCAUACGUCCUAAAAAAAUGCUGAAAGAAACAGACAUUCCUUCGCAAGCGAUACCAACAUCUGACAGCUGCGCUCGAUAUAAAGAAAAAAUGACAGACUAUCGUAUUUCCUUUUUUAUCAUCUGACAGCAUAAGAUUCCCACGCUAAGUUAAGAUGAUGGUUAAGUAAAUUUGAACCAAUAAUAUUAGUUGCACCUUCCCCAGAUUUUGAGAAUGACAACGAGGUUAGUCUACUGUGUCAAUGUGCCCUGUGGCGUUUUUCUCUUUAUAGUGUUUCUUUGUUUUAAUAACCCCAUAGUAUGCGUGUUUAGAAUAAAUAAAAUUGCUGUCUUCUUCGAAGAUGUUGAGUGAAGUAGAUAUAAUUCGUCAGUUCAGCAUGCUAGAAGAGAGUGUCAAUCGAGACAAGCAGCGGAAACGAUUCUGUCUGGAAUUAAAAAGUGGCUCUCUUCUGUUUUCUUCUUUUCUCGAAUUGUCGCUAUCUUCCGCUGACCAAGGGAACCACAAAUCCAUUAAAUCAUACACGAUGUUCUCUUGGACGGGAGAGAUAAGGAAAAAGGAGGAAAUUUUUUUUUGUAACUCUGAAACAGAGAAUAUUUCAGUUUGUUUGCUGCGUAAGUAAAUCACCCGCGAUGAGGGGGCGUUUCGGAGGCGUGUAGAAGGAAGGCUGGAGUUCAAUUGUCAUCAACAUUCCUAUGUUGACAAUGACUAAAACAAUGGCCGGGAACGUUCUGAGCAUACCGAGCGAAUCCAUUUGACAUAUAGUGCGAGCUUUUCCAAACGUUGCAGAGGAGUACGUGACCAGCAUAAGGAUGAUCACUAGGGGCUAAUAAUUGACAGGAGUUCGCCGCUUCAACAACCAAUUGGAUUUUUAUUAUGUGACAAAGUGAAAAAAUUUCACUAAUGAAAGUUCCAUUUGUAUUCAACAAAUGUGGAUGAAGAAUGAGUUCAGAGCCUACCAAGAAACAAUGAUUGAAAAGUCGCUGUCUAAGUUUUCAACAGAGUUAAUGAUUAAAAUCGGACUAGCUUUGACACAUGAUAUUCCUUUACUGACUUGUAAUCUAUCCGCGACAUUUUUUUAAGCAUGUCAACUUUUUAGUAUACAUGGUAAGUUCUUAUAGUCUAGAAAAUACCCUGAAGGGAAACGUAAACUUGUUUGCUGGAGGCUUGAGUCAUCGAGGGUUCGAGUUGCUGAGGUUUAAAUUACAGUGAAUGGGUAACGGGAAUUCAGGGAUAUCGAUUUUGGUGUAAGUUAUCUGAAUUAUUAGGAUGUUUGAGUCAGUUAGGCUCCAAGCUGUGGGGAGUCGAACGUAAUAUAUUGCAAAGAUGCGCUACCCAAAACAAAUUCCUACUUUGAAGGAACAUCUUGUUUACAUUUUUUGCAUAAUAAUGGAUUCAAAAGUGCACACAGAGCAGCAUCUGUCUUACUAACAAGAAAAGUGAGACACUUCAAGUGAUUUUGUCCGAGCUCGUUUUGAGUUUCUCAACCAAAAAAAUUGCAAAGGACUCUUCAAAAGUUGUUUGAUUAUAUCGGUUAAUCACAGCCACAUAAAUGCAAGUUGUACGGGUGUCUUAUGGCUCAAAAUUUCUUUUAAACACCAAUUCUUUGAAGAAUCGAUAUUCUCACACUUUUACGAGAUUGGAGUAAGGAAAGUCCAAUUUUUUGUCGAGUAGUCUGUUUCAUUUAAGGUUGCCAUAGUAAUAAUAAAACCUCAAGAUGACAGUC